rnacentral:rRNA from 1 species
GACGAACGCUGGCGGCGUGCUUAACACAUGCAAGUCGAACGGAAACGCCCUGCUUGUGUGGGGUGCUCGAGUGGCAAACGGGUGAGUAACACGUGAGUAACCUGCCCUUGACUUUGGGAUGACUUCAGGAAACUGGGGCUAAUACCGUAUAGGAGCUCCUGCUGCAGGGAGGGGGGUGGAAAGUUUCAGCGGUUGGGGAUGGACUCGCGGCUUAUCGGCUUGUUGGUGGGGUAGUGGCUUACCAAGGCUUUGACGGGUAGCCGGCCUGGGAGGGUGACCGGCCACCUUGGGACUGAGGGACGGCCCAGACUCCUACGGGAGGCAGCAGGGGCGAAUAUUGCACAAUGGGCGGAAGCCUGAUGCAGCAACGCCGCGUGCGGGAUGACGGCCUUCGGGUUGUAAACCGCUUUCGCCUGUGACGAAGCGUGAGUGACGGUAAUGGGUAAAGAAGCACCGGCUAACUACGUG